GUGGGGAAUAUUCCGCAAUGGACGAAAGUCUGACGGAGCAACGCCGCGUGAGUGAUGAAGGUUUUCGGACUGUAAAGCUCUGUUGUUUAGGACGAAAGUGCCUGUUGCAAAUAGUUACAGGUAUUGACGGUACUGAACGAGGAAGCCACGGCUAACUACGUGCCAGCAGCCGCGGUAAUACGUAGGUGGCAAGCGUUGUCCGGAAUUAUUGGGCGUAAAGAGCAGGUAGGCGGGAAUCUAAGUCUGUUGUGAAAAUGCGGGGCUCAACCCCGUAGUGCGAUGGAAACUGGGUUUCUUGAGUGCAGGAGAGGAAAGUGGAAUUCCCAGUGUAGCGGUGAAAUGCGUAGAUAUUGGGAGGAACACCAGUGGAGAAGGCGCCUUUCUGGACUGUGUCUGACGCUGAGAUGCGAAAGCCAGGGUAGCGAACGGGAUUAGAUACCCCGGUAGUCC
rnacentral:rRNA from 1 species